rnacentral:rRNA from 1 species
AUUGAACGCUGGCGGCAGGCCUAACACAUGCAAGUCGAACGGUAACACAAUACGGCUUUCUGUUUCCCUGACGCGUGUCGCAGGGGUGUGAGGUGUCUAGCAAACUCCAUGUUUUCGGGGGAUAACACGUAGAAACGGUUGCUAUAACAGCAUAUCGUCCCAAGCCCAGAGAGGGGGAGACUCUGGCACCUUGCCAGCUGGUGUGCGCAGAUGGGGGAUUAGCUUGUGGGGGGGGUAAAGUCCCACCAAGGCGACGAUCUGUAGCUGGUGUGAGAGGAUGAUCAGCCACACUGGAACUGAGACACGGUCCAGACUCCUACGGGAGGCAGCAGUGGGGAAUAUUGGACAAUGGGCGCAAGCCUGAUGCAGCCAUGCCGCGUGUGUGAAGAAGGCCUUCGGGUUGUAAAGCACUUUUGUUGGGGAAGAAGAGAGUAAGGUUAAUACCCCGCCUUAGUGACGGUACCCGAAGAAGAAGCACCGGCUAACUCCGUG